UUAAUCGGUUGUAGUCACUUCACUUUUCCGACUGUUAGCACAGUAGUCACUUUCGUUCUUUGACGCUCUCAAUUUAUGUUUUGCAGGUCAAUGUAAGGCCAAGAGGUGGCAAAGAGACAAGGCACGAUCUCAUGGUGAUGGAGAACCUUUCAUUUAAUAGAAGUACUACUCGGCAAUAUGAUCUGAAAGGUGCUUUGCAUGCUCGAUUUAGUUCAGCUGGAAAUGGUGCAGGAGACGUUCUUCUGGACCAAAACUUUGUUAACGACAUGAAUGUAUCUCCUUUAUAUGUUGGUACGAGAUCAAAGAGGGAUUUACAACGGGCUGUAUGGAAUGACUGUACUUUCCUCAGGGUAAGUUUGAGGUCAAACUGCUAACCUAAUAAUAUGCACAAAACUUAAAAGCAUCCAAAGAAAAGGCACUUCUGCUUCUUAUAAUCAUGCAAUCUCCGAAGUUAAUCGAUUAGCAUCUAAACUCCUCUUAUAAUCAUGCAACCCCUGAAAUUAAUAGAUUACCUUCUAACAGCUACUUGACAAGAGGGGCUUGGUCUGAUGGUAACCAACCCUCACUUACAACCGAGAGGUUGUGAGGACUGUUAGCACAGUAGACACUUCCUUCUUUGACGCUCUCUAUUUAUGUUUUGCAGGUCAAUGUAAGGCCAAGAGGUGGCAAAGAGACAAGACACGAUCUCAUGGUGAUGGAGAACCUUUCAUUUAAUAGAAGUACUACUCGGCAAUAUGAUCUGAAAGGCGCUUUGCAUGCUCGAUUUAGUUCAGCUGGA
rnacentral:lncRNA from 1 species